rnacentral:rRNA from 1 species
AGCAGUCGCCGCGGUAAUACGAAGGGGGCUAGCGUUGUUCGGAUUUACUGGGCGUAAAGGGUGCGUAGGCGGAUUGUUAAGUCAGGGGUGAAAUGCCGGGGCUCAACCUCGGAACUGCCUUUGAUACUGGCGAUCUUGAGUCCGGGAGAGGUGAGUGGAACUGCGAGUGUAGAGGUGAAAUUCGUAGAUAUUCGCAAGAACACCAGUGGCGAAGGCGGCUCACUGGCCCGGAACUGACGCUGAGGCACGACAGCGUGGGGAGCGAACAGGAUUAGAUACCCGUGUAGUCCCUGUCUCUUAUAC